GUCUUUAGUUGAUAUGUGGAUUAUUUUUUGCUUGACAAGUGUAUCUCUUAAUUUAAUGACAUCUGGCAAUCUAAUACAACACAGUAAAAUGAGUUUAAUAUAUAGAGUAGUAUACCAACCCAGCUCGUUCUCAAUGGAUAUAAAUCAGAUUUCAAAUUAUAGUAUAAAAGGUAGUGAAAUACUUUCUCACCAAUAAACACAGAGCAGUCUAAUUUUUUCAAACUUGUGUAAAAAUGUCUGAAGGAUAUGAUAUGCUAAUGAAUGUCAAUGCCAAGAAGCUUGAAUGAAAUUUUCAGGUGUAUGUUGUUCAUAUAUGGGAAAACUCAAAUAGGUACAACCAAAAAGAAAUUAAUAGCAUAGAGAUGGUACUUCAAGAUAUUAAGGGAGGAAGGAUCCAAGCGUCAAUCAAUAAAGGUUUAUUCAAGAAGUGGAGAGGUUUUUUUGAGGAGUUUAAAAUGUACACUAUGAGUAACUUCAUAGUUGUGGACAAGAUGGAGAAGAUUAAAACAACAAGAAAUCGGUGGACUUUGAACUUUUCCCACAGAACAGUUGUUGUUCGUGUGGAAAAUCCAAGUUUUCCUCUCGAAUCCUUUUGCUUGAAGCCUAUCCCAGAGCUCCUUGCUGCCGAAAAGCUUGAUGAUUCUCAACUAUUGGGUAAGCAACUACUUUGUAUGUUUCUUUAGAUAGUAACCAUCCUUUCCAGUAUCCUUGAUAUUGUGACUUAUUUUAUAUCAUUCAUUGUUAGUUAGACAUAAUCUGGGAGGUUGUUGGGAAGGAGGACCCAAGAGAUAUAAUCACAAGCAAAGGAAAUGAGACAAAACGUAUAGUGGUUGUGAUAGCAGACCUAGAGUAAGUUUCUUGAAUAAAAUAGACAAGUUUUGUGUUUUUUGAAACAUUAUACAUCAGUUUAAUGUGGAUUUGUAGGGGUUUUGUGUUACGCAGUAACAACAAUCUUGAUUGUGUGUUGUUUGGUGACAUGGUCGAUCACAUACUUCCCCAUCUUGAAGAUGGCAGGGUUGAACCACUAAUAGUGGUGUUGCAGUUCUUUAAACCCAGUCGAUGGAAUGGUAUGCAUCACAUGUUAAAAUUCCUAACCCACUCCAUUAAUAAAAGUGGUUUGUUUACUAAAGUUGGUAUGUGAUAAAGCCAUGUUUACUAAAGGCAAAACUGAUUCUUGUUGUUUAUGUUUUCAGAUAAGGUAUCGGUUCAAAGCCACUUUGAUGUCUCUAAAAUACAUGUUAAUCCUGACAUGAAGGAAGUACAUGAUUUUCGGAAAAGAUUUGUCUAACAGUCAAUGAGAAGCACUUUUUUUCUGUUGUGUUCCCAUUAACGACGUUGUUUAAUAGAAUGAAUGUGCAGCUUGCUUGGCAGUGUAAGGUCUAAUUCGGUCAGAAUUAGUCAGGUCUCCGGUCAUGGUGUGCAAUUUGGUGCUGCAGAACUAAAACGAGGAGGUGUCAUAGUGAAAUCAAUAGAGGAUGCACUCAAUUCAACAGAGGAAGGUCCUAUAUGGAUUGGCGGAACCAUUGUCUCUAUCAAUGCUGGCAACAACGAUUGGUUUUACAAAUCGUGUAGGAAGUGUCCAAAAAAAGUAGAAACCCCGAUUGGAAAUCGAUAUGAAUGUUUCAAGUGUGGUCAUACACAUGGCAGUGCAUCCCUUAGGUGUGAGACAAGACUUAAUUUGGAUGCCUUUAAUAGAUUUCCAAGAAUAAUAUUUUCAAGUGACAUUUCAGAUGCAGUUUAAUUAACAUUAACUUACUUGCAUGAAUUGUAAAGAAUUGAUCCUAUUUUAUUGGUCUAUUGAACUAUUUGGCAGGGGAAUUUAUUAAGAGGAAAUCUUUUUUGACAAUUGGUAUUGCAUAUUUUAUAAUAGGUACAAGGUUGAAGUUAUAGCCUAUGAUGGAACAGGAAGUAUAACUAUGCUAAUGUGGGAUAGAGAAACAACACAGCUUAUAGGGAGGCAAGCUGAACAAAUCAAGGAUGAAGAUUGUUUGGAAGGGGAAGGUUACCCCCCAACCCUUGAUAACAUGAUGGACAAGAAGUUACUCUUUAAAAUUAAUGUCAAAACAGCCAACAUCAACAAGCAUGACCAGGUUUACACUAUCAUGAAGA